CCCGUUUCCAAGCCAUGUCAGACUUGAUCUCUCAUGUGAGGGCCCACCUGCUCACCAUUGCUUGCACCUGCCUGAGGUUGUUAGGCCACAUGGCAGCAUGUACUUACGUGGUCUGUCAUGGCUGGCUCCAUCUCCGACCACUGCAAGCAUGGUUGGUGUCAGUCUACAUCCCCAACAGGCACAGUCGAGACCUGGUAGUCAGGUGCUGGAUCACAUAUGGUCAUCCCGGGAAUGGUGGCUGGACCCUGACUCGGUGUUGGAGGGAGAUCCAUUUGUGGCCCCGUCCCUGUCGCUGACUGUGCUCUCCGAUGCCUUGGACCUGGGCUGGGGAUCCCACCUGGGUAAUCUCAGCACACAAGGCCGCUGGUCGCAGGACGAUAGCUCCCUCCACGUAAACGUCAGAGAGCUCAAAACGGUUCGCUUGACCUGCCAGGCUUUCCUAACCCACGCGAAAGGCAAGGUGGUACAGAUCCUGACAGACAACAUCGUCGCAACGUUUUGUAUCAACAAGCUGGGCAGAGCCAGGUCAUCAGCCCUUUGCCGAGAAGCUGUCCGUCUCUGGGACUUCUGUGUGCAGCAUGCCAUUCAUCUCGUGGCCGGGCACCUCCCUGGGGCCAGGAAUGUGUUAGCGGAUCACCUCAGCAGGUCCUUCUCUUCUCGCCAUGAAUGGCCACUCCAUCCGGAGGUGGUCAGUGUGAUCUUCCAACGGUGCGGUGGAGGACUCCCUGGGUGGACUUGUUCGUGUCCCAAGAGAACAGGAAGUGCUGUGCGUUCUGCUCAAUUCAGGGGAUUGACAGAGGCUCCCUGUCAGACACCUUUUUGCUCCUGUGGUCGGGGCUCUAGUGUACGCCUUCCUGCCAGUGCAACUAAUCCACAGAGUCCCCAUGAAGAUCAAACAGGACAAGGCCAAUGUAAUCCUGAUGGCCUCGUCAGCACUGGUUCGGCACACUGCCAGACCUUUUGGUGGCUGCCCUGCUGCAGCUGCCUCUCUGGCCGGACUUGCUGUCCCAUAACCACGGUGGUCUGCUACACCCAAACUUGGCAACACUGCACCUGAUGGCUUCACUGCUGUGUGGUUGAAUGCGGAAGAGCAGGAAGUGCUUGGCCCUUGUUCAGCAGGUCCUUUUGGCUAACAGAAAGUCCUCCACCGGGGCAACCUACCUGGUCAAAUGGAAAAGGUUCAUGUGCUGGGCCUCGGAUCAGGGUAUCCGGUUUCAGCAGGCCUUGCUGCAGUCGAUCUUGGACUAUCU
rnacentral:lncRNA from 1 species